rnacentral:rRNA from 1 species
AUGGCCAAGAAGCCGAAGCUCUUCUUCGCCCUGCUCUCCUUCCUCCUCCACGGGACUAGGCCUCCGAUCUCCAGCCGGGUCAUUGCCACCGCCAUGACUGAAUCAUCACCGCACCCUUCCUCGCUGCACCACCUCGGCAGAUCCUCACAUCCUCCCAUGGCAGAGAAGAUCGCCGCCGGGCGAACCCUCGUCCUCGACGUGGACGCCGCGCUCCUCCUCCGGUCGUCGUCAUCCCUCUUCCCCUACUUCAUGCUCGUGGCUCUGAGGCUGGAGGAUACCUACGAGGCCUCGUACUUCUCCUCCUCUACCCAAUCAUCUUAA